rnacentral:tRNA from 1 species
AUUUAAGUAGCUUAAAGUGUAGAGCAUAAUAUUGAAGAUAUUAAGGUGAUUAAAAUAUCUUUAAAUA